GAUCAAGCGAAUAAGUGCAUAUGAUGGAUGCCUUGGCGAUCACAGGCGAUGAAGGACGCGGUAGCCUGCGAAAAGCUACGGGGAGCUGGCAAACAAGCUUUGAUCCGUAGAUGUCCGAAUGGGGAAACCCACCGUAGUAAUACGGUAUCCCAUGCUGAAUACAUAGGCAUGUGGAGGCGAACCGAGUGAACUGAACCAUCUCAGUAACUCGAGGAAAAGAAAUCAACCGAGAUUCCGGAAGUAGUGGCGAGCGAAACCGGACCAGCCUGGAUGUUUUAGCGUAGUGAAUAGUCGAAUGGAAUGGAAAGUCCAGCCGUAGCAGGUGAUAGCCCUGUAGGCGAAAUUCAGUACGUGGAACUAAGCAUCGAACAAGUAGGGCGGGACACGUGAAAUCCUGUCUGAAUAUGGGGGGACCAUCCUCCAAGGCUAAAUACUCGUGAUCGACCGAUAGUGAACCAGUACCGUGAGGGAAAGGCGAAAAGAACCCCGGAAGGGGAGUGAAAUAGAUCCUGAAAUCGUAUGCAUACAAACAGUAGGAGCACCUUCGUGGUGUGACUGCGUACCUUUUGUAUAAUGGGUCAGCGACUUACAUUCAGUGGCAAGCUUAACCGAAUAGGGGAGGCGUAGCGAAAGCGAGUCCGAAUAGGGCGAUUCAGUCGCUGGGUGUAGACCCGAAACCAGGCGAUCUAUCCAUGGCCAGGUUGAAGGCACGGUAACACGUGCUGGAGGACCGAACCCACUAAUGUUGAAAAAUUAGGGGAUGAGCUGUGGAUCGGAGUGAAAGGCUAAACAAGCCUGGAGAUAGCUGGUUCUCUCCGAAAACUAUUUAGGUAGUGCCUCGUAUAUUACUGCCGGGGGUAGAGCACUGUUAUGGCUAGGGGGUCACAGCGACUUACCAACCCAUGGCAAACUCCGAAUACCGGCAAGUACAGUACGGGAGACAGAGCACCGGGUGCUAACGUCCGGACUCAAGAGGGAAACAACCCAGACCGCCAGCUAAGGUCCCUAACUAUGGCUAAGUGGGAAACGAAGUGGGAAGGCAUAGACAGUCAGGAGGUUGGCUUAGAAGCAGCCAUCCUUUAAAGAAAGCGUAAUAGCUCACUGAUCGAGUCGUCCUGCGCGGAAGAUGUAACGGGGCUAAGCCAUAGACCGAAGCUGCGGAUGUGUACUUUGUACACAUGGUAGGAGAGCGUUCCGUAAGCCUGUGAAGGUGUUCCGUGAGGAAUGCUGGAGGUAUCGGAAGUGAGAAUGCUGACAUGAGUAGCGAUAAAGGGGGUGAAAAGCCCCCUCGCCGUAAGUCCAAGGUUUCCUGCGCAACGUUCAUCGGCGCAGGGUGAGUCGGCCCCUAAGGCGAGGCAGAGAUGCGUAGCUGAUGGGAAGCGGGUUAAUAUUCCCGCACCGUCGUAGAGUGCGAUGGGGGGACGGAUUGCAGAAUGUUAUCGGGGUGUUGGAUGUCCCCGUUGGCGCAUCAUAGAAGGCACUUAGGCAAAUCCGGGUGCGUAAUUCAAGGGUGUGACUGGAUAGAGCUUCGGCUCUAAACUAACUGGAAGCAGUUCCAAGAAAAGCCUCUAAGCUUCAGCUCUACGAGACCGUACCGCAAACCGACACAGGUGGACGGGAUGAAUAUUCCAAGGCGCUUGAGAGAACUCAGGAGAAGGAACUCGGCAAAUUAAUACCGUAACUUCGGGAGAAGGUAUGCCUCAUUAGUGUGAUGUGCCUGCGCACAAAGCAUGAAGAGGCCGCAGUGAAUCGGUGGCUGCGACUGUUUACUAAAAACACAGCACUCUGCAAACACGAAAGUGGACGUAUAGGGUGUGACGCCUGCCCGGUGCCGGAAGGUUAAGUGAUGGGGUGCAAGCUCUUGAUCGAAGCCCCGGUAAACGGCGGCCGUAACUAUAACGGUCCUAAGGUAGCGAAAUUCCUUGUCGGGUAAGUUCCGACCUGCACGAAUGGCGUAACGAUGGCCACACUGUCUCCUCCUGAGACUCAGCGAAGUUGACAUGGUUGUGAUGAUGCAAUCUCCCCGCGGCUAGACGGAAAGACCCCAUGAACCUUUACUGUAGCUUUGCAUUGGAUUGUGAACCGGCCUGUGUAGG
rnacentral:ncRNA from 1 species